AGCAGCAGCCGCGGGAAAACGUAGGGUGCGAGCGUUAAUCGGAAUUACUGGGCGUAAAGCGUGCGCAGGCGGUUAUAUAAGACAGAUGUGAAAUCCCCGGGCUCAACCUGGGACCUGCAUUUGUGACUGUAUAGCUAGAGUACGGUAGAGGGGGAUGGAAUUCCGCGUGUAGCAGUGAAAUGCGUAGAUAUGCGGAGGAACACCGAUGGCGAAGGCAAUCCCCUGGACCUGUACUGACGCUCAUGCACGAAAGCGUGGGGAGCAAACAGGAUUAGAUACCCCCGUAGUCCCUGUCUCUUAUAC
rnacentral:rRNA from 1 species